rnacentral:lncRNA from 1 species
CUUCUCCUUCUUCUCCUUCUCCUUCUUCUCCUUCUCCUUCUUCUUCUCUUCUCCUUCCCUUCUUCUUCUUCUUCCUUCUUUUUCAUUUUUCCUCUUUCUUCUCCUCUUGUCCUCUUCUUCGACCUAAAUUAGCUAAUUAUGCCUUUUUGGAGCUAAUUAUGUCAUUUUGGAGGAUAAUUAGGUAAGUAUAAGUCAUUGUUUAUUAAAUAGGCCAUUAUGAGCUUAUUAUGUCAUUUUGGAGCUAAAUUAGUC